rnacentral:rRNA from 1 species
UACGGGGGGGAGCAAGCGUUGUCCGGAUUUACUGGGCGUAAAGAGCGCGCAGGCGGUCGGAUAAGUCGAAUGUGAAACGCCCCUGGCUCAACCCAGGGAGGGUCAUUGAUACUUGUUCGACUCGAAGGCAGGAGAGGGAAGUGGAAUUCCGGGUGAUAGUGGUGGAAAUGCGUAGAUAUCUGGAGGAACACCGGUGGCGAAGGCGGCAUCCUGGACCGGUAUUGACACUGAGGCGCGAAAGCCAGGGGAGCAAACGGG